ensembl:rRNA 5S_rRNA 5S ribosomal RNA
GUCUACGACCAUACCACCCUGAAUGCGCCCAAUCUCGUCUGAUCUUGGAAGCUAAGCAGGGUCAAGCUGGGUAGUACUUGGAUGGGAGAACUAUUUUGCAAAUCAAAUAUAUAUAUA